rnacentral:rRNA from 2 species
GUCGAGCGAACAGAUGAGAAGCUUGCUUCUCUGAUGUUAGCGGCGGACGGGUGAGUAACACGUGGGUAACCUACCUAUAAGACUGGGAUAACUCCGGGAAACCGGGGCUAAUACCGGAUAAUAUUUUGAACCGCAUGGUUCAAUAGUGAAAGACGGUUUCGGCUGUCACUUAUAGAUGGACCCGCGCCGUAUUAGCUAGUUGGUAAGGUAACGGCUUACCAAGGCGACGAUACGUAGCCGACCUGAGAGGGUGAUCGGCCACACUGGAACUGAGACACGGUCCAGACUCCUACGGGAGGCAGCAGUAGGGAAUCUUCCGCAAUGGGCGAAAGCCUGACGGAGCAACGCCGCGUGAGUGAUGAAGGUCUUCGGAUCGUAAAACUCUGUUGUUAGGGAAGAACAAAUUUGUUAGUAACUGAACAAGUCUUGACGGUACCUAACCAGAAAGCCACGGCUAACUACGUGCCAGCAGCCGCGGUAAUACGUAGGUGGCAAGCGUUAUCCGGAAUUAUUGGGCGUAAAGCGCGCGUAGGCGGUUUCUUAAGUCUGAUGUGAAAGCCCACGGCUCAACCGUGGAGGGUCAUUGGAAACUGGGAAACUUGAGUGCAGAAGAGGAGAGUGGAAUUCCAUGUGUAGCGGUGAAAUGCGCAGAGAUAUGGAGGAACACCAGUGGCGAAGGCGGCUCUCUGGUCUGUAACUGACGCUGAUGUGCGAAAGCGUGGGGAUCAAACAGGAUUAGAUACCCUGGUAGUCCACGCCGUAAACGAUGAGUGCUAAGUGUUAGGGGGUUUCCGCCCCUUAGUGCUGCAGCUAACGCAUUAAGCACUCCGCCUGGGGAGUACGACCGCAAGGUUGAAACUCAAAGGAAUUGACGGGGACCCGCACAAGCGGUGGAGCAUGUGGUUUAAUUCGAAGCAACGCGAAGAACCUUACCAAAUCUUGACAUCCUUUGACCGCUCUAGAGAUAGAGUCUUCCCCUUCGGGGGACAAAGUGACAGGUGGUGCAUGGUUGUCGUCAGCUCGUGUCGUGAGAUGUUGGGUUAAGUCCCGCAACGAGCGCAACCCUUAAGCUUAGUUGCCAUCAUUAAGUUGGGCACUCUAGGUUGACUGCCGGUGACAAACCGGAGGAAGGUGGGGAUGACGUCAAAUCAUCAUGCCCCUUAUGAUUUGGGCUACACACGUGCUACAAUGGAUAAUACAAAGGGCAGCGAAUCCGCGAGGCCAAGCAAAUCCCAUAAAAUUAUUCUCAGUUCGGAUUGUAGUCUGCAACUCGACUACAUGAAGCUGGAAUCGCUAGUAAUCGUAGAUCAGCAUGCUACGGUGAAUACGUUCCCGGGUCUUGUACACACCGCCCGUCACACCACGAGAGUUUGUAACACCCGAAGCCGGUGGAGUAACCUUUUAGGAGCUAGCCGUCGA